ensembl:lncRNA
UUAAAAUGGGUAAGAAAGGGUUAAAAAGGGGUUAAAUUUGAAAUUGAGGUUCCUGGUUUAUACUGUUUCAUACUGGUCCAUACUGGUUUAUACUGGUUUAUACUGGGAGGGGAGAAAGGGUGAAAAAAGGACAAAAAAUGGGUUAAAAUAUGUCCAAAAUUGGCUAAAAAUUGGUUUAAAAAGGGGUUAAAUUUGGAAUUAGGGUUACUGGCUCAUACUGGUUUAUACUGGUUUAUACUGGUUUAUACUGGUUUAUACUGGGAGGGGGAAAUAGGGAAAAAAAGGCGAAAAAUGGGUUAAAAUAUGUCCAAAAAUCGUUAAAAAGGUGGUUAAAAAGGGGUUAAAUGUGUAUUUAGACUCCAUACUGGUUCAUAGUGGUUUAUACUGGUUAACCCCGCAGGUCGCUGGGGGCGGGGCAGACGCUCCGGCUCAGCCAAUCAGUGACGCCGCUGCGCGCAGGGCAGCGCCGCCUGGCGGCCACGCUGGAGAGCGCAGCGCUGCCGCCGCUGACCGGCAGCGUCCAGUUCGACGUGGCCGCGGGGGAAACUGGGGAAACUGGGAAUACUGGGAAUACUGGGAAUACUGGGAGGAGGAGGAGGAGGAGGAGGGGGAGGCCGGGAGGCAGCACGGGGGGGUGAGCUGGUUUGUACUGGGAGCACUGGUUUGUACUGGGAGCACUGGUUUGUACUGGGAGGGGGUUUGGGUCGUACUGGGAGCACUGGUUUGUACUGGGAGCCAUUUCGGGUCAUACUGGUUUUUACUGGGAGGGGUUUUGGGUCAUACUGGGAGCACUGGGAGCCAUACUGGUUUGUACUGGGAGCACUGGGAGCCAUACUGGGUCAUACUGGGAGCCAUACUGGGAAUACUGGGAUCCAUACUAGUUCAUACUGGUUCAUACUGGGAGCCAUACUGGUCCAUACUGGGAGCACUGGGAGCCAUUUCGGGUCAUACUGGGAGCACUGGGAGCCAUACUGGGAAUACUGGGAGCCAUACUAGUUCAUACUGGUUCAUACUGGGAGCACUGGGAGCCUUACUGGUCCAUACUGGUUCAUACUGGGAGCACUGGGAGCCUUACUGGUCCAUAUUGGUUCAUACUGGGAGCACUGGGAGCCAUACUGGGAAUACUGGGAGCACUGGGAGCCAUACUGGUCCAUACUGGGAGCACUGGGAGCCAUACUUGGAAUACUGGGAUCCAUACUGGUUCAUACUGGUUCAUACUGGGAGCACUGGGAGCCAUACUGGUUCAUACUGGGAGCACUGGGAGCCAUACUGGGAGCACUGGGAGCCAUACUGGUCCAUACUGGUUUAGACUGGUUUGUACUGGGAGCCCCAGCCCCUCCCCGUGACGUCACCUCCCCGCGAUGACGUCACUCUCCCCGCCCCUUUAAUAAAGCG